UACGGAGGGUGCGAGCGUUAAUCGGAAUUACUGGGCGUAAAGGGUGCGCAGGUGGUUUGACAAGAUAUCUGUGAAAGCCCCGGGCUCAACCUGGGAAGGUCAGAUAAGACUGUCAGACUCGAGUAUGGGAGAGGGUAGUGGAAUUUCCGGUGUAGCGGUGAAAUGCGUAGAGAUCGGAAGGAACACCAGUGGCGAAGGCGGCUACCUGGCCUGAUACUGACACUGAGGCACGAAAGCGUGGGGAGCAAACAGG
rnacentral:rRNA from 1 species